rnacentral:rRNA from 1 species
CAGCCGCCACGGGAAUACGGAGGGGGCUAGCGUUGUUCGGAAUUACUGGGCGUAAAGCGCACGUAGGCGGCUUUUUAAGUCAGAGGUGAAAGCCCGGAGCUCAACUCCGGAACUGCCUUUGAGACUGGAAGGCUUGAACGUCGGAGAGGUGAGUGGAAUUCCGAGUGUAGAGGUGAAAUUCGUAGAUAUUCGGAAGAACACCAGUGGCGAAGGCGGCUCACUGGACGACUGUUGACGCUGAGGUGCGAAAGCGUGGGGAGCAAACAGGAUUAGAGACCCCUGUAGUCCCUGUCUCUUAUAC